rnacentral:rRNA from 1 species
UGGGGAAUAUUGCGCAAUGGGGGAAACCCUGACGCAGCCAUGCCGCGUGAGUGAAGAAGGUCUUCGGAUCGUAAAGCUCUUUCAACGGUGAAGAUGAUGACGGUAGCAGGUAAAGAAACCCCGGCUAACUCCGUGCCAGCAGCCGCGGUAAUACGGAGGGGGUUAGCGUUGUUCGGAAUUACUGGGCGUAAAGCGCACGUAGGCGGACCAGAAAGUUGGGGGUGAAAUCCCGGGGGCUCAACCCCGGAACUGCCUCCAAAACUAUUGGUCUAGAGUUCGAGAGAGGUGAGUGGAAUUCCAAGUGUAGAGGUGAAAUUCGUAGAUAUUUGGAGGAACACCAGUGGCGAAGGCGGCUCACUGGCUCGAUACUGACGCUGAGGUGCGAAAGUGUGGGGAGCAAACAGGAUUAGAUACCCUGGUAGUCCACACCGUAAAACGAUGAAUGCCAGUCGUCGGGUAGCAUGCUAUUCGGUGACACACCUAACGGAUUAAGCAUUCCGCCUGGGGAGUACGGUCGCAAGAUUAAAA